rnacentral:rRNA from 1 species
AGUGAACGCUGGCGGUAGGCCUAACACAUGCAAGUCGAUCGGCAGCACAGUAAGAGCUUGCUCUUACGGGUGGCGAGUGGCGGACGGGUGAGGAAUACAUCGGAAUCUACUUUUUCGUGGGGGAUAACGUAGGGAAACUUACGCUAAUACCGCAUACGACCUACGGGUGAAAGCAGGGGAUCUUCGGACCUUGCGCGAUUGAAUGAGCCGAUGUCGGAUUAGCUAGUUGGCGGGGUAAAGGCCCACCAAGGCGACGAUCCGUAGCUGGUCUGAGAGGAUGAUCAGCCACACUGGAACUGAGACACGGUCCGGACUCCUACGGGAGGCAGCAGUGGGGAAUAUUGGACAAUGGGCGCAAGCCUGAUCCAGCCAUACCGCGUGGGUGAAGAAGGCCUUCGGGUUGUAAAGCCCUUUUGUUGGGAAAGAAAAGCAGCAGGUUAAUACCCCGCUGUUCUGACGGUACCCAAAGAAUAAGCACCGGCUAACUUCGUG